rnacentral:rRNA from 1 species
GCCAGCCGCCGCGGUAAUACGGAGGGUGCAAGCGUUAAUCGGAAUUACUGGGCGUAAAGCGCACGCAGGCGGUUUGUUAAGUCAGAUGUGAAAUCCCCGGGCUCAACCUGGGAACUGCAUCUGAUACUGGCAAGCUUGAGUCUCGUAGAGGGGGGUAGAAUUCCAGGUGUAGCGGUGAAAUGCGUAGAGAUCUGGAGGAAUACCGAUGGCGAAGGCAGCCAUCUGGCCUAAUACUGACGCUGAGGUACGAAAGCAUGGGGAGCAAACAGGAUUAGAUACCCUGGUAGUCCAUGCCGUAAAUGAUGUCUACUAGCCGUUGGGGCCUCUGAGGCUUUAGUGGCGCAGCUAACGCGAUAAGUAGACCGCCUGGGGAGUACGGUCGCAAGACUAAAACUCAAAUGAAUUGACGGGGGCCCGCACAAGCGGUGGAGCAUGUGGUUUAAUUCGAUGCAACGCGAAGAACCUUACCUGGCCUUGACAUACUAGAAACUUUCCAGAGAUGGAUUGGUGCCUUCGGGAAUCUAGAUACAGGUGCUGCAUGGCUGUCGUCAGCUCGUGUCGUGAGAUGUUGGGUUAAGUCCCGCAACGAGCGCAACCCUU